rnacentral:tRNA from 1 species
GUUCUGCUAGACAAACAGGUAAAGUCCCUACCCUUUCAAGGUAGGGUUUGCGGGUUCGAUCCCCGCACAGAACGCCA